rnacentral:rRNA from 1 species
UACGUAGGGUGCAAGCGUUGUCCGGAAUUAUUGGGCGUAAAGGGCGCGUAGGCGGCUUUGCGUGUCUUUCGUGAAAUCCCUCGGCUCAACUGAGGACGUGCGGAAGAAACUGCAGGGCUGGAGUCCGGGAGAGGAGGGUGGAAUUCCCAGUGUAGCGGUGAAAUGCGUAGAUAUUGGGAGGAACACCGGUGGCGAAGGCGGCCCUCUGGACCGGUACUGACGCUGAUGCGCGAAAGCGUGGGGAGCAAACGGG